UUCAGAACCUUCUUGUGGUGGAAAGCAGGAAACUUUUGGACCAGGGUCACGAAUGCUUCCGCCAAGGGGGCCUUGUUGGUUAAUGGACUCCGCUUCUGGGUGCUCCUGGAAGGAUUUGGACUUUGGAGCCCCCUCACCUUCAGCCCUAAACAAACUCUCCCGGUUCCUCCUUCUAGAUUGCCGGGAUAUGGUUUCCUCUGGCAAACAUUGUGAUUGAACUGCAGUCCCCCCCAUAUACAUUAAAGGUCAUAGCGGGGCGAACUCUGGCAUACAACUAUCAGUUCCAUCUUAACGGCAGAUGCAUUCCAAAAGAGCUCAAGUUUGUUGAACAGCGAACAGCAGGCGAAUUCAAGACCCUAAGCCCCACUUUCGUUCAAAUACUAGAUACGGACUAUAGGACCUACUGCAUCUCUUACAUUGAACGAGGGAUGGAUGCCUUCCUGACGCUUGCUGGU